AUGUAGUGAUGAAAACUCUUUCUCCAUUCGCGGUUUCCACCAGAGGGCAUUUCAUGUCCGAAGAUGGCUUAAUCCUUCCUUGGAUGUCUGAGCAU
rnacentral:snoRNA from 1 species